rnacentral:rRNA from 1 species
UACGUAGGGUGCAAGCGUUGUCCGGAUUUAUUGGGCGUAAAGCGCGCGCAGGCGGUUUUUUAAGUCUGGGGUUUAAGUUCGGGGCUCAACCCCGUAUCGCCCUGGAAACUGGGAGACUGGAGUGCAGGAGAGGAAAGUGGAAUUCCACGUGUAGCGGUGAAAUGCGUAGAUAUGUGGAGGAACACCAGUGGCGAAGGCGACUUUCUUGCCUGUAACUGACGCUGAGGCGCGAAAGCGUGGGGAGCAAACAGG